rnacentral:tRNA from 2 species
GCCCCGGUAGCUCAGCUGGAUAGAGCGAUCGCCUCCUAAGCGAUAGGUCGCAGGUUCGAAUCCUGCUCGGGGCACCA